ACUUGACUAGCUGAGAGGAGGUGCAUGGCCGUCGUCAGUUCGUACUGUGAAGCAUCCUGUUAAGUCAGGCAACGAGCGAGACCCACGCCCACAGUUGCCAGCGUACUCUCUGGAGUGACGGGUACACUGUGGGACCGCCGCUGCUAAAGCGGAGGAAGGAAUGGGCAACGGUAGGUCAGUAUGCCCCGAAUAUCCCGGGCUACACGCGAGCUACAAUGGUUGGUACAAUGGGUAUCUACCCCGAAAGGGGACGGGAAUCUCCUAAAACCAAUCUUAGUUCGGAUUGAGGGCUGCAACUCGCCCUCAUGAAGCUGGAAUCCGUAGUAAUCGCGUUUCAACAGAACGCGGUGAAUACGUCCCUGCUCCUU
rnacentral:rRNA from 1 species